rnacentral:rRNA from 1 species
UACGGGGGGGGGCAAGCGUUGUUCGGAAUUACUGGGCGUAAAGGGCCAGUAGGCGGCCAACUAAGUCGGAUGUGAAAUCCCCAGGCUUAACCUGGGAACUGCAUCCGAUACUGGAUGGCUUGAAUUCGGGAGAGGGAUGCAGAAGUUCCAGGUGUAGCGGUGAAAUGCGUAGAUAUCUGGAGGAACACCGGUGGCGAAGGCGGCAUCCUGGACCGGCAUUGACGCUGAGGCGCGAAAGCCAGGG